rnacentral:rRNA from 1 species
ACGCUGGCGGCAGGCUUAACACAUGCAAGUCGAACGGUAGCAGGAGAAAGCUUGCUUUCUUGCUGACGAGUGGCGGACGGGUGAGUAAUGCUUGGGAAUCUGGCUUAUGGAGGGGGAUAACUACGGGAAACUGUAGCUAAUACCGCGUAAUAUCGAAAGAUUAAAGUGUGGGACCUUCGGGCCACAUGCCAUGGGAUGAGCCCAAGUGGGAUUAGGUAGUUGGUGGGGUAAAGGCCUACCAAGCCUGCGAUCUCUAGCUGGUCUGAGAGGAUGGCCAGCCACACUGGAACUGAGACACGGUCCUGACUCCUACGGGAGGCAGCAGUGGGGAAUAUUGCGCAGUGGGGGGAACCCUGACGCAGCCAUGCCGCGUGAAUGAAGAAGGCCUUCGGGUUGUAAAGUUCUUUCGGUAUUGAGGAAGGUUGAUGUGUUAAUAGUACAUCAAAUUGACGUUAAAUACAGAAGAAGCACCGGCUAACUCCGUGCCAGCAGCCGCGGUAAUACGGAGGGUGCGAGCGUUAAUCGGAAUAACUGGGCGUAAAGGGCACGCAGGCGGUUAUUUAAGUGAGGUGUGAAAGCCCCGGGCUUAACCUGGGAAUUGCAUUUCAGACUGGGUAACUAGAGUACUUUAGGGAGGGGUAGAAUUCCACGUGUAGCGGUGAAAUGCGUAGAGAUGUGGAGGAAUACCGAAGGCGAAGGCAGCCCCUUGGGAAUGUACUGACGCUCAUGUGCGAAAGCGUGGGGAGCAAACAGGAUUAGAUACCCUGGUAGUCCACGCUGUAAACGCUGUCGAUUUGGGGAUUGGGCUUAGAGCUUGGUGCCCGUAGCUAACGUGAUAAAUCGACCGCCUGGGGAGUACGGCCGCAAGGUUAAAACUCAAAUGAAUUGACGGGGGCCCGCACAA